rnacentral:rRNA from 1 species
AGAGUUUGAUUUUGGCUCAGGAUGAACGCUGGCGGCGUGCUUAACACAUGCAAGUCGAACGGGAAUUACUUUAUUGAAACUUUGGUCGAUUUAAUUUAAUUCUAGUGGCGGACGGGUGAGUAACGCGUGGGUAACCUGCCUUAUACAGGGGGAUAACAGUCAGAAAUGGCUGCUAAUACCGCAUAAGCGCACAGAGCUGCAUGGCUCGGUGUGAAAAACUCCGGUGGUAUAAGAUGGACCCGCGUUGGAUUAGCUUGUUGGUGGGGUAACGGCCCACCAAGGCGACGAUCCAUAGCCGGCCUGAGAGGGUGAACGGCCACAUUGGGACUGAGACACGGCCCAGACUCCUUCGGGAGGCAGCAGUGGGGAAUAUUGCACAAUGGGGGAAACCCUGAUGCAGCGACGCCGCGUGAAGGAAGAAGUAUCUCGGUAUGUAAACUUCUAUCAGCAGGGAAGAUAGUGACGGUACCUGACUAAGAAGCCCCGGCUAACUACGUGCCAGCAGCCGCGGUAAUACGUAGGGGGCAAGCGUUAUCCGGAUUUACUGGGUGUAAAGGGAGCGUAGACGGUGUGGCAAGUCUGAUGUGAAAGGCAUGGGCUCAACCUGUGGACUGCAUUGGAAACUGUCAUACUUGAGUGCCGGAGGGGUAAGCGGAAUUCCUAGUGUAGCGGUGAAAUGCGUAGAUAUUAGGAGGAACACUAGUGGCGAAGGCGGCUUACUGGACGGUAACUGACGUUGAGGCUCGAAAGCGUGGGGAGCAAACAAAAUUAGAUACCCUGGUAGUCC